GCUAAACUUCCGCUAUUCUCUCGUCACAAUGUGGUGUUUACAUAUCGUCGGAAGAACGCGCUCCGAACUGUGAGGGUGUGUCAAGCUAGAGCACAUGGUAGCUGAUGCUGAUGGCAGAAACUCUUUGAUUAGCGCCCUUGGAAAAGCGGAAUGAGUUUUCACGGUGUCCAGGUGCAUGGUGCUCGUUGAGAGGAAGAAAUAAAUUGACACCUGUUUGAAACUCUGCGUCUUGAUCAAUCUAUAUCCGAGGGGCCGCUACAAUGACGGCUAUGUGUGGUCAACUUCUAAAUACAAUCUUUCUGACAUGAGCCUGAGCAUGUUUUCUCUUGCUGACUUAUCUUAAAGACAUAACUUCACGCUUACCGCCUCCGGCGGACAUCGGUCCAGGAUAUCCAGGGACUGUAUUGAACAUGGCUGCAGGUGGUGGAUAAGGGGGUACUUGG